rnacentral:rRNA from 1 species
GAUGAACGCUGGCGGCGUGCCUAAUACAUGCAAGUCGAGCGAACAGAUGAGGAGCUUGCUCCUCUGACGAUAGCGGCAGACGGGUGAGUAGCACGUGGAUAACCUACCUAUAAGACUGAGAUAACUUCGAGAAACCGGCGCUAAUACCGGAUAAUAUAUUGAACCACAUGGUUCGAUAGUGAAAGACGGUUUUGCUGUCACUUAUAGAUGGAUCCGCGCCGGAUUAGCUAGUUGGUACGGUAACGGCUUACCACGGCAACGAUGCGUAGCCGACCUGACAGGGUGAUCGGCCACACUGGAGCUGAGACACGGUCCAGACUCCUACGGGAGGCAGCAGUAGGGAAUCUUCCGCAAUGGGCGGAAGCCUGACGGAGCAACGCCGCGUGAGUGAUGAAGGCCUUCGGAGCGGAAAACUCUGUUAUGAGGGAAGAACAAAUGUGUAAGUAACUAUGCACGUCUUGACGGUACCUAAUCAGAAAGCCACGGCUAACUACGUG